UACGAAGGGGGCUAGCGUUGCUCGGAAUCACUGGGCGUAAAGGGUGCGUAGGCGGGUCUUUAAGUCAGGGGUGAAAUCCUGGAGCUCAACUCCAGAACUGCUUUUGAUACUGAGGAUCUUGAGUUCGGGAGAGGUGAGUGGAACUGCGAGUGUAGAGGUGAAAUUCGUAGAUAUUCGCAAGAACACCAGUGGCGAAGGCGGCUCACUGGCCCGAUACUGACGCUGAGGUGCGAAAGCGUGGGGAGCAAACAGG
rnacentral:rRNA from 1 species